UUGUUUGUUUUGUUUUUUUAAUUGAUAAGCUGAAACAACUCCUGUUCUUUUUGCGGAUACAGACUAACAUGGCUGCUACUCUGAAACCUGAAACAAUGUUACGGUAGUAAAGGUUGAGUGUCUAUGAUACUUAUUGACAAGACUACAGGACACCAUUAUUUCUACCAUCAUUCAGAAUAUUAUCAUUUUCUAUCAGGGACAAAGUAUCAGAGGGGUACCUGUGUUAGUCUGUAUCCACAAAAACAAGAAGUCUGGUGGCACCUUAAGGACUAACAGAUUUAUUUGGGCAUAAGCUUUCCUGGGGAAAAAACCCCACUUCUUCAGAUGCCUGGAUAAACAAGUUUUUGAUUUCACAGGAGGCAGACCCAGAGAACGUGCUAGGUGCUUUGAAGAAAUGAGCUGUCUGUUUUAUCUGUUGCUGCUGCCUUUGCGUCCUUGAUGGGAGCCCCCUCCUGUGGAAUGCCUGGCCCUGAUGAGAAGGAGAAAGAAGUGCAUCAGAGGGUGAACAGAGGGCCUGGAAGGUGAAUAUGGAAGACAGAAUGCAGAAGGAAAGAGUGGACAGGACAAAGGACCAGGAAUCCCAGCAGGAAGAGGAGAGGGCGAUUCACCAAGACAUAAUGGAACUUCUCAGACAGCGAACACAAAAUGCUGCAGAUUCUUGUUGACCUACAGGCCCAACAACCACAGCCUCGCCACCCUCUGCAGUCACUGGAGUAUGCCAGUUUAACAGGUCCCGAUACCCCUCAACAUUCCACGUGGCAUCAUGGGCUGCAUUCCUACUCCUACCACCCUAUGCUAAGAGACAGACAGAACAACCACAGCUUCUCAUACACUGACUUGUGAGACCUACAGCUGAUGUAUGUGUAGCCAAAAUGGACUGAAAUAGACAGGAGUGUUUCCACCUUUCUGAUUUUAAAGUUCUAUUCCAUUAAUUUGUUGUAGAAGUUGGUAUUGUAUUGUUUUGUUUUUAAUUGCACUUUUUCUUUGCAUUGUUUUUGGUAUGCAAUACAUUUACUUUAUUUAUGUAUUUAUUUAUUUAAUAAAUUCAACUUUAUUAUGUCACAA